CGGACGGGUGAGUAACACGUGGAUAACCUACCUAUAAGACUGGGAUAACUUCGGGAAACCGGAGCUAAUACCGGAUAACAUGUUGAACCGCAUGGUUCAACAGCGAAAGACGGUCUUGCUGUCACUUACAGAUGGAUCCGCGCCGCAUUAGCUAGUUGGUAAGGUAACGGCUUACCAAGGCAACGAUGCGUAGCCGACCUGAGAGGGUGAUCGGCCACACUGGAACUGAGACACGGUCCAG
rnacentral:rRNA from 1 species